UACGUAGGGGGCGAGCGUUAUCCGGAAUUACUGGGCGUAAAGCGCACGCAGGCGGUUCGCCAAGUUUGGGGUGACAGUUGUCGGCUCAACCGACAAAGGACUUCAAAAACUGGUGAACUUGAGGACGAGAGAGGAACAUGGAACUCCAGGUGUAGUAGUGAAAUGCGUAGAUAUCUGGAAGAACACCACUGGCGAAGGCAAUGUUCUGGCUCGUUUCUGACGCUCAGGUGCGAAAGCCAGGGGAGCGAACGGG
rnacentral:rRNA from 1 species